rnacentral:lncRNA from 1 species
ACAUAUUUACGGUGGAGUCUCAUAUGGAUAAGCUUCUUCAGGAAGAUUAUUUACAAUGGAGUACUAAAUGAACAUUCAUAAUAUAAUAUAUUUGUAACAGCAUUGAAUUCUUUACAUUAAUUCCAUCACUUUGACCAUUUGACCUACCUGCCCCACGCCCUUUCUUUUGUUCUCUGCCCAAAUUCGCGAGACUCCAUUUUUGUUUCCUCUUUCUUGCUCCAAAACACCAGAAACCUCAUAACAACAGGUUAAGGUCUCACCAUUUCCGGGAAAUGCUUUCAAGAAGGUGGGAAUAUUUUGAUCUUUGACCAAAUCAAGAGCAGAUCCUCUCUGUCUGUUUCUGCUAUGGCCUCAACGUUCGAAUUCGAACGGCCAUUUUGACUUAGGAUUCAAACUCUACUCUUAAAAUCCCGCCCAAAAUCAUAAGAACCCUAGGUUCCGCUUAUAAAUAGCGGUAUUGGAGAGUAUUUGGUCCAGGGUUUUCAGCUGCUGCCUUCACCUUUCGAAAUAAAACUUGGAGCCGCCUCUAUCCCCUUUAAUUCUAAGGUUCAUCAUUCGCCUCUAUCCCCCUAAGACUAACUGGUCUUCUUCUAGAAAUUUUAGCUUUCUUCCUUACUUCUUCGUCUCUGUUUGUUCCUGGCAAUGCUUGGCAUUUUUUAUUGCCUUCCGGGGUUAGUGAAUUCAAGGCCUGAGAUAGUCCCUUGAGGAUGCCCCAGUUUCACUGCCCUAAAAAAGGUCAGUUUCCUUCUAAUUUUUUUAUCUUUCAUUAUUUUGUUUUAGAUGUAAAGUGUGUCAUUUUGUUUUGGUAUAAAUCAUGUGUGUUUUCUCUUUUAUUUGACUAUAGAAAAUCGUGGCUUUGUUGUUGUUGUUUAUAUAACAGAAUGAUGCCCAUAGAAUUUCGCUUGUGCUGCUUGUCUAUUGUUUGUAUGAUUAAAUAGGUGUAGCUAUUGGAUCUGAAUUUUUCUUUUAAGUUUUUAUCUUAGCAAUAUGGCUAAAAGUUGCUGAAAUAUUUAAGUAAGAUUAACGUAUGAAUAUGUUUUUGAACUAUCACUUUUAGAUAAUGCACUCUUAGACUUAAGAGCAGAAAAUAUUAUUUCAACUCAACAUAGCAGAUCCCAUGAUGAGACAUCUGUAAGUUAAUUUUACUCUGAUAAUUGGUUGAAUAUGUCAUUUGCAAAUAAUCGGUUAGACUGAAUGGAUUACUUAUCAGUCUGCACUAGUGACUUAAAGAAAACAGCAUGACUGUAAAAUUUAUUGGCUCCCUUUUAGAAAGAACAGCCUCGGAUCUAUGUUCACUUAAAUAUUUGAAUUCUAUUAGUUAAGAUUAUGAUAUAAGAAGUCUGUAUUUCGAUGAACUAGUAGAUAAGUAGAGUAAAGUUAAUUUAUCUUUUUUUGGAAUUUCCCGUCGCUACCCUAUGAAUGCUAAAUGUCUUACAUUCCUGUUAAACCCAUGACGUGAAUAUGUGCUCCUAUGUUUGAGUGUGCCGAGGGUAGUGACCAUGACUCAUGUUCUCUGUUAGAAAAUUAUUCUAUGAAUUUCAUUGCAACUUUGUCGAAUUGGUUCCAUUUUAUGCAGCCGCACUCCUUCUAUUUCCUUCCAUGUUAUAAGUUCAUCUUAAGGAAGAAACUUAUCUAACUGUUAAGAAUAUGGAUUCAUAUUAUGUAUUUUCUCUUCAUGACUUAUAGACCAUGGCAAUAGCAUUUGACAGUGCUCAUAGUGAAAUAGACCUUAGCUAGAAGCAUGUGCUGUGUUAAGAAUAUGGAUUCAUAUUAUGUAUUUUCUCUUCAUGACUUAAGNNNNNNNNNNNNNNNNNNNNNNNNNUUUUGAAACAUUUCUUACAUAUCCUCUUUCGGUGUUAGCAUUUAUUUUCUAAAAUAUGAAAAUAACCUUAAAAGGGGCAUAAAACACAUACUUAUAAGUCUUAAAAUUACUAGUGUUUGUUCCAUGAUUUGCUGAAACUUAGUAAUUAUAGUCACGGGCUUAUAAAAUAUUGAAUACUUUUGUGGAUUGGUUUAUCGUGAGAAUAUCUGGGAAGUGUCUUUUAAGUAAGAAGAAAUGAGAUGUUAAGAUUAUAGAUCAUUUAAAUAAUUUCAAUACCAAUAUGAUUGAUGCUUGCUUUGUUUUUGCUAUUAUAUUUUAGUUUUCACCUUCUCUGUAGCACUUCUAGAAAUAGACCUCUUUCACUCUAAUUCUUGUUUUGUUCAAUUUUUGUGCAUAUGUACUUGGAGCAAAAUCGAGUCUUACUCGAGACUCAACCCCACCCGAGCAUGGAGUCAUCGCAUCCCAUACCAUCCUCCUUAGAAUGCACCCGAUAGCAAGAAAACAAGCGAAAAGCUUGGGGUCGCCUAUGACGGCCUUUGUCUUUUGUAUUUACUCUAUUUGAAUUUUGAUGUCAAUUUGAUCUUGUCAUUUGGGGUUUGCUUCAGUUUGUUUCUACACUUAACAGGGGGUCCAUGAUUUAGUUUUUAAUUUCCUCAUUUAAUAUUCUCCCCUAGUUAGUAUAUAAUGGUGCUCUUAAAGAAUUUUUGCAAAAUCAGUUAAGUUUUAGAUUUGCAUCAUAUAAGUUAAAAGGUCAUCUUCAUUUUUUUUUUUGAAAGUAUGUGAUUUGACAUACCUCUCCUUUAAGAUGCUAUAACUUUAAUGAUUUGGCCAUUAAUAAUAAUUUGGAUUUGAGCGAGAAAAUAGUUUUUUCCAAGUUUAAAGUAAUUUAAGGCCAUUUCUUCUCUCUAUGUGUGUGUUGUGUGUAUAUAUACAUAUAUAUUAAGUUAUAAACUCUUGCUUGUUAGUAUUCCAAGUUAAACUUACGUACUUAUUAGUGGACAUGUCAAAUGAUAUAUUUUUAUAGUCAUAAAACUAUAAACCUAAGUUCCGCUAGUUAACGAUUUUUAAUGGAUCUUAAAAGGUGCCUUACUCCUUCCUUUUGAGAUAACUAGAACUCUUACCUAGAAUUUCUAAAACUAAGCAGACCAUAUAAUUAGGUGUCCUAAUUCACCUUUAAAAUAAUUAGGUGGUGACUCUCUUUAAUUAGCCUUCAGAAUUACCAAUAUGUUAUACUUUAGUUUGACCCGUGUUAAAAUGGGCUAUAACAUCUACUAGUCCCUAUUUUGGAGGAAGGGUACGCUAUGGUAGAGGUUUUAUGGGUUAGCUAGUUCAGUUUGCACUUCUAGCUUCGCGUGGUGCUUCAGAUAUCCAUGGGUCUCAGAGUGCCCGUACCGGAUAGCUUCUACAACCAUGUCAGUGGAGAGGUUGCUUUGAGUGUGGAGAUACCAACAACAUGGUGAGAGAUUAUCUCAGACUUCGAACAGAUGUAUCGCAGCAGAGUAUUUAGGCGGGUAGAGAGCGCCCAAGAAGGGGAGGCCGGAUGGUUGAUAUGCUUUCUAUGGUGGGGCUGAGGUCGUUGCACCUGAUGAUGUCGUUAUAGGUAUGGUUUCGAUUAUGAUAGAGGAGCAUUAUUCUUAUUUUGAUUUGGCUCUGCUUAUCGAUGUGAAUCUUCUUAUCUUACUUGGCGUAUGAGUAAGUUUCGUGAUUUUGUACUCUGUUUAAUGGUUUACCCCUGUUGGAAGAUUCUAUAGUGGUAGCCUGUGUUUAUCAUUUUGUUUUAUUCAUUAUUGAGAGCUAUGAGACUAGGAAUGACUUUUUGUUACCCAUUACAAUAGGUUUUUAUGUGAUUUCUGGGUGGUUUUACGAUUUGUGGUUUAGCUGCUCUACCGAGUUCGUUAAGUGUUGCCUUUUUGUAUUGCGGAAUAGAAUUAGUGUAAGGUUUCAGUUGGUGUUGUGUGUACGCUACUUGUUGUUCAGAGUUGAGGAUGGGAUUCUCGCAUUCUUAUGAGAUUUGAUAUGUUUGAACUGGGCUGCGGGUCGCGGUGGAAGAUAUAUCAGGAUGAGAUCGUUGUGAUUAGUUCAUGUGUUUUAAUUCUCCUAAUUGAUUCGUAGUAUGGUACUGAUAGGGAGUUGUGCCGCUCAUGCUUAUUUAAUAGUUCUCUUAUGUGUUUCUCUUUGCAUAUUUAGCCAUGUUCACGUUGUGUUUAUUGGAUUUCAGCUUACGAGGUGUGUGCCCACGUGGCAUUAAAUGUGUCUUGAUGUUUCAGGUGAAUAGUCGUGAGGUCUUUAUGUUUCUUGUAUCGUUGUCAGUAUUGUGAAGGUUUGGAACAUGAUUCUAGUGGAUAUGAGGUUAAUUGUCGGUGUUGGAUUUGAUUAUGGGCAACUAUUGUGAUCAGAGAUGUUGUCAUGGGCAUAUGUGUGAUGUGUUACGUCGUGUGGUUGUACUUGGUGGGUGUAGGCAUGAGUUGUUGUAGCUGGUUGAGG